UGGGGAAUUUUGGACAAUGGGCGAAAGCCUGAUCCAGCAAUGCCGCGUGAGUGAAGAAGGCCUUCGGGUUGUAAAGCUCUUUUGUCAGGGAAGAAACGGUGAGAGCUAAUAUCUUUUGCUAAUGACGGUACCUGAAGAAUAAGCACCGGCUAACUACGUGCCAGCAGCCGCGGUAAUACGUAGGGUGCAAGCGUUAAUCGGAAUUACUGGGCGUAAAGCGUGCGCAGGCGGUUUUGUAAGUCUGAUGUGAAAUCCCCGGGCUCAACCAGGGAAUUGCAUUGGAGACUGCAAGGCUAGAAUCUGGCAGAGGGGGGUAGAAUUCCACGUGUAGCAGUGAAAUGCGUAGAUAUGUGGAGGAACACCGAUGGCGAAGGCAGCCCCCUGGGUCAAGAUUGACGCUCAUGCACGAAAGCGUGGGGAGCAAACAGGAUUAGAUACCCUGGUAGUCCACGCCCUAAACGAUGUCUACUAGUUGUCGGGUCUUAAUUGACUCGGUAACGCAGCUAACGCGUGAAGUAGACCGCCUGGGGAGUACGGUCGCAAGAUUAAAACUCAAAUGAAUUGACGGGGUCUAGCUGUUUCCUG
rnacentral:rRNA from 1 species